AACGAACGCUGGCGGCAGGCUUAACACAUGCAAGUCGAACGCCCCGCAAGGGGAGUGGCAGACGGGUGAGUAACGCGUGGGAACAUACCCUUUUCUACGGAAUAGCUCUGGGAAACUGGAAUUAAUACCGUAUACGCCCUACGGGGGAAAGAUUUAUCGGGGAAGGAUUGGCCCGCGUUGGAUUAGCUAGUUGGUGGGGUAAAGGCCUACCAAGGCGACGAUCCAUAGCUGGUCUGAGAGGAUGAUCAGCCACAUUGGGACUGAGACACGGCCCAAACUCCUACGGGAGGCAGCAGUGGGGAAUAUUGGACAAUGGGCGCAAGCCUGAUCCAGCCAUGCCGCGUGAGUGAUGAAGGCCUUAGGGUUGUAAAGCUCUUUCGCCGAUGAAGAUAAUGACGGUAGUCGGAGAAGAAGCCCCGGCUAACUUCGUG
rnacentral:rRNA from 1 species